UUUUAGAGAAAAAACAGACAGAGCUGCAGAUGGUGAACUGUUACCUAUGAGAAACAAGAGACUCCUAAUAUCUCCACAAACACUCAGGGAUACCCCAUCAGAAGUCACUAAGACUGAUGAGAACUUUACACUUAUGAUCUCAUAAUCGGCCUGGGAAUGGACCAUGCCACUCAUCUGGAAAAUCUGAGUUUGGAAAGUUUUUCUGUUUUCAUAUAUAGCAAAGAAAAGCUGAGAGCAUACUUCAUGGAACUGCAAAGGGACAGAGCAGUAGAGGUCCCAACUUCAUGAAACUGAAGAAACUUCCAGAGAAAGAGUAACCAACGGAUGAACAUUCUGGUCAAGACUUGGUAACUCCCAGAGACCUUUAGAUUGCAAGUCAAUGUUCCUUUAGAGAUAGUGAGGACAAGAUGACUUGAGAUAUUUGUGAUGACAAAACAUAUGUGAAAUCAGACUGUGUGAUGUGUGUGCAUGCACUGUGUCCAAAAAAGAAAAGAAAAGAAAAGAAAAAUGGUAUCUAAGGCACCUAGUAAGAAUUUCUACAGGAACCUGAUGUGAUACAACCAGAUACAACAGACCGAUGUAACCCAGCUGCCCACUGUGGGACAGAAGAUUUCAAGAGAGCACAAGAGCUGACUCCAACAUAAACAGUAGGGAAAAAAAAGAUUGGACUGUUGCAAUCACUGACAAGUGCUAGAACUUAACUCAUGCUCAGAUUUCAGAAAUGCAGUUAACUCCUACUAAGUACCCUAAAAUCAAGCAAGCCAUAUCCCAGCUAACAGUCCACGAUGCAAUGUUCACAACGUUACAGAAAUCAAAAUGAGAAACAAGACAGGAUUGAGGAGUACAUUUGGAAAAGUACACAGACACAGAACGGUUAAAAAGAGGAAAAAUAAGAGUUCCAAGUCAAAGCCAAAGCCCAGAGUGAUUUCAGUGGAAGGCGAGACCUGGCUCACUAUGGCACAAAAUGAAAUAAAGCACUGUCAUUCCGCUAGUA